rnacentral:lncRNA from 13 species
UUGAGGUCCCCGGCGGGAGUGGAGUUUCAUUUGGCCAGGAGAGGGGCGAGUUGAAGUGCCCGGCGGGAGUGGAGUUUCAUUUGGCCAGGAGAGGGGCGAGUUGAAGUCCCCGGCGGGAGUGGAGUUUCAUUUGGCCAGGAGAGGGGCGAGUUGAAGUCCCCGGCGGGAGUGGAGUGAACUGGUUAGUUGAUUAAAAUUAGGCCUAGGACCUCAUUGAUUCGGUAGGUUGAAUGUCCACCGAAGUAUUUUCUAUUCAAUUCAAUUAUAAUAUAUUAUAUUCUAAUCUAUUAUCAUUUAUUCUAUUAAUGUUACAUAUCUUUUUUAUGUUUUCCCAGGUAGGCAUCAGGUAAAAAAUGUGGAACCAAGGAAAGUGUGUUUCAGACUACUCAAGUGAGGGGUCCUCCUACAACACCAGACACAAGAGAGAGAGUAAAAAAUAGAAGAAGGUGGAAGAACUCGUCCCUUAAUCAUGAUUUCACAGAAGCCACAACCUUCACAGUAACUGAAGUGACGUUAAACGGCAGUUGGAAAACAUGGAUGCGUUUGAGGGUCUCCACAGUGUCCGGCUGUCCUCCUCUCCACCCCUUGCCUCUGUCACCAAUCCAGGGUAUGAGGUUCUCGUAUCAGCCAGAUCUGGUAUUCAGGUGUACUCCAACACCACGUUCUAUGGUAAACCCAGUGUUCUAGAGCAGGCUCAGAAGAGAGGGAGAGCCAAAUAUCACUCCCACCGAGAGGAGACUAAAGAAGAGAGGUGUGAGGUUGGAAGGUUGGUAGACCUGGAGCCAGGUCCAAUCCCCAGGGUGGAGGGUGGAGGGCAGGGUGACCCCAGGCCCACCAGGCCCCAGGAGCAGCGUACCCAGGCCAGGGGGAGAGAGGGGAGCAGGCUGGAGCGUGCUGCCCAGCUGGAGGGUGCCCGGGGCGGGGAGCAUGAAGACAAUGUGUCCCGCCUCCGGAGCUCUUCCCUGGAGAUCAGAGAGAAGGGAUCAGAGAUCCUCAGAGAGCAGCUAGAUGCUGCACAGAAGGUGUCUGAGGCCCAUCUUGUUAUUCAGUACACCUCUUCUAUUCUGACCCAGUACUACACUACACCUCUUCUAUUCUGACCCAGUACUACACCUCUUCUAUUCUGACCCAGUUCUACCCUGCACCUCUUCUAUUCUGACCCAGUACUACCCUACAACUCUUCUAUUCUGACCCAGUACUACACUACACCUCUUCUAUUCUGACCCAGUUCUCCUCUACAGCUAUUCUAUUCUGACCCAGUUCUACCCUACAACUCUUCUAUUCUGACCAGUUCUACUCUACAGCUCUUCUAUUCUGACCAGUUCUACUCUACAGCGCUUCUAUUCUGACCCAGUUCUACCCUGCACCUCUUCUAUUCUGACCCAGUUCUACCCUACA